rnacentral:rRNA from 1 species
UAAUACGAAGGGGGCUAGCGUUGCUCGGAAUUACUGGGCGUAAAGGGCGCGUAGGCGGCUCUGUUAGUCAGGCGUGAAAGCCCUGGGCUCAACCUGGGGACUGCGCUUGAUACGGCGGGGCUUGAGGACGGAAGAGGCUCGCGGAAUUCCCAGUGUAGAGGUGAAAUUCGUAGAUAUUGGGAAGAACACCGGUGGCGAAGGCGGCGAGCUGGUCCGUUACUGACGCUGAGGCGCGACAGCGUGGGGAGCAAACAGGAUUAGAUACCCUGGUAGUCCACGCCGUAAACGAUGUGCGCUGGAUGUUGGGUGGCCUAGCCACUCAGUGUCGUAGCCAACGCGGUAAGCGCACCGCCUGGGGAGUACGGCCGCAAGGUUG